AUGAAUCUGGAAAAAUGCCCUUUCAUAGACAAGAAAUCCAAAACAAAAACAUGUGUUGGAGCCAGACCCAGGAAACUGGAAGCAACUUUAAUCGUCAUGUCAAUUAAAUGUAACAGAACUGAAAAUAUGGAGACAUUUCCCAUUGAAUAUAUUUAAGCAUUCAAGACAAAUGCAUUGGUAAUUCUGUUCAAGGUAUGUAAUUAUCACACGGGAAUUAUUUAUGAAGCAUGGGUGUCAGCAGAUACAGUUUUGAGUUAGAACUGAGUAUGAAAAUCUUCAGGUUAGAACUUAGUGUGGUAUUAUUUAGUGCCUUCCAUUUUUAGAGAGUGAAAAAUGUAGUUAUUUAGACUUUUGACAAUGUGGAUGUUUUUCAAAAUAACUGUGACUAUGAAUUUUAUUCUAGAACUAUCCUUUGAUACCAAAAAAAGAAACAUAGCUUUGGGUUACUGACACAUCUGUAGACACAGCAAAUUAUAUGAUUUCUUCACCCUAGUUAAGUCAAUCCCAGUCAUGGUACACAGCAUGCAUCUACAGGGUGGCUUCUCUCAAGUGCCUGUUAUGAGGUUAGCUCAUCCUCCAGGCCAAAGCGGUUUUAUGAGCUGCCUCUGAACAAGGUGUUGUUUUGCCAGGUCAGUCACAGGCCACUGCUUGGUUGUGUCUCAGGUCAAAAGGUGACACAUACUUUUAUGACCAGGCCCAAGAUCAUAUUCUCAUAUCCCAGAUGCCAUCUAUCAUAUUCUAGAUCAGUGGCUCUCACCCUGGAGUAAUUUUUUCCUCCAGCGGACACUGGGCAAUGUCUGGCAACAUUUUUAGUUGUGACAUUGGGGAUGGAGGUGGGGAGUGCUUCUAGCAUCUAGUGGGUGGAGGUCACGGGUGCUGCUAAACAUCCUGCAGUGCAUGGGACAGGCCCCCACAGCAAAGGCCAAAACGUCAGUAGUGCCGAGGUCAAGAAACACUGCUGUGGAAGGAAAGCAUGGCAUGAUCAGUUAACCUUUUUUUUCUUUGUUAGUAAAUACAUGGAGUACUAAGAAUAUUUAAUACAUUUGAAUCUAAGAUUCAAGUUACAUUGUUCAAUGUACCACCCAACUUGAACCCAUGUUUGGGCAGGUUAGAUAUGUGAGGAGGGCUUUCCUCAUUGAUUUAACCUGUCAGUGAUCUUUGGUCAUGGCAUGGAGGCCAAACAUAGAAUGAACCCUUUAUUUUUUAGAGGGCAGGAUAUCCCUAAGCGCCUCACUUGUCUCCUUUCCCACUGCAGCUAUGUCAAUUAAACAAAUCUGAGUUUGACAGAAUUUUAUGUGAUGAUGGAAACGUUUUCUCUGUGUGCUUUCCAAUAUAGUAGCCAUUAGCUACAUGCAGCAAUGACAUACUUGAAAUAUGGCUGAUGUGCCUGUGAAAUGGAUUUUUAAAUGUUAUUUAAUUGUAGUCCAUUGAAAUGUCAAUGUAAAGAGCCAUAGGUGCUACUGGCUACCGUAUUGGACAGUGCAGGAUUGACAUAUUCACACCUCUGUAGGUCAAACCUUCCUUGGGGCUGAAGUCAGGCAUAGAUUGUCAUCAUUGUCAACUUCCUCCCAUUUUGCUUCUGAAACUUUGGAGAAGGAUAUUUGGGCCCUGAGAGGGAAGGUGGACAAAGAGUUUCCCAUGUGACUUGGCCUCCAAAGAAAUAUCUUCAAAAAAAAAAUCAGAUAUUUUGAACUCCCAACAUUAGACUUUAAAUUUACAAAUCUAUAUGAUAUAUAGCCUUGUCUUCUGUAAGUAAUUUGCUAAAAGAGUUUUUCUCUCUGUCUUAGACUUAAGUGAUUAUAUGACUACCCUUCUAUUAGAGUGAUGGAACCUGGUUCUUAAAGAGAAGACUGGGUCUUUCAAGAAUGAGAGAUUGUAAUUCCAACAGAAUUAGUGAGGGAUUAUAUUUUUCUUUCCUCCUCUUCCACCAACAUUCUUUUAAAUUCGCCUUGCUAGUCCCAGCCUCCCUCUCAUUUCCCC
rnacentral:lncRNA from 1 species